rnacentral:rRNA from 1 species
AACGAACCGUGCGAACGUUGUUCGGAAUCACUGGGCUUAAAGGGCGCGUAGGCGGGUGUGCAAGUCUGUGGUGAAAGCCUCCAGCUUAACUGGAGAAGUGCCGUGGAUACUGCACAUCUUGAGGAGGGUAGGGGCAUCUGGAACGGUCGGUGGAGCGGUGAAAUGCGUUGAUAUCGACCGGAACUCCGGUGGCGAAGGCGAGGUGCUGGACCCUUUCUGACGCUGAGGCGCGAAAGCCAGGGGAGCAAACGGG